GCCCGCUUGGCGAAAUCGGUAGACGCACCGGAUUUAAAAUCCGUUGCCCUCAAGGGCGUGCCGGUUCGAGUCCGGCAGCGGGCA
rnacentral:tRNA from 2 species